rnacentral:rRNA from 1 species
GACGAACGCUGGCGGCGUGCUUAACACAUGCAAGUCGAACGGAACGGCCCUGCUUUUGUGGGGUGCUCGAGUGGCGAACGGGUGAGUAACACGUGAGUAACCUGCCCUUGACUUUGGUAUAACUUCAGGAAACUGGGGCUAAUACCGGCUAGGAGCUCCUUCUGCAUGUUGGGGGUUGGAAAGUUUCGGCGGGUGGGGCUGGACUCGCGGCUUAUCAUCUUGUUGGUUGGGUCGUGGCUUACCAAGGCUUUGACGGGUAUCCGGCCUGAGAGGGUGACCGGCCACAUUGGGACUGAGAUACGGCCCAGACUCCUACGGGAGGCAGCAGUGGGGAAUAUUGCACAAUGGGCGGAAGCCUGAUGCAGCAACGCCGCGGGCGGGAUGACGGCCUUCGGGUUGGAAACCGCUUUCGCCUGGGACGAAGCGGGAGUGAAGGUAAUGGGUAAAGAAGCACCGGCUAACUACGUG